rnacentral:sRNA from 1 species
UAUUGAAGAAUAAAGUCAGCCACGUGC